rnacentral:rRNA from 1 species
AGUGAACGCUGGCGGUAGGCCUAACACAUGCAAGUCGAACGGCAGCACAGGAGAGCUUGCUCUCUGGGUGGCGAGUGGCGGACGGGUGAGGAAUACAUCGGAAUCUACUCUGUCGCGGGGGAUAACGUAGGGAAACUUACGCUAAUACCGCAUACGACCUACGGGUGAAAGCAGGGGACCUUCGGGCCUUGCGCGAUUGACUGAGCCGAUGUCGGAUUAGCUAGUUGGCGGGGUAAAGGCCCACCAAGGCGACGAUCCGUAGCUGGUCUGAGAGGAUGAUCAGCCACACCGGAACUGAGACACGGUCCAGACUCCUACGGGAGGCAGCAGUGGGGAAUAUUGGACAAUGGGCGCAAGCCUGAUCCAGCCAUACCGCGUGGGUGAAGAAGGCCUUCGGGUUGUAAAGCCCUUUUGUUGGGAAAGAAAUCCAGCUGGCUAAUACCCGGUUGGGAUGACGGUACCCAAAGAAUAAGCACCGGCUAACUUCGUGCCAGCCGCCGCAGUAA